UCUCCACCAGGGCUGUGGCGCUGGCUUUCUAGGGGGGUUUAGAAAAUGUCUGGGGGUGUUUGCGGGCGAUAGUAACUGAAGGUUCCACUGCAAUUAGUGGGGAGGGUCACGUUUGUUAACCCUAGUGCGAAACACUGGAAAAAACGUCAUGCAAAGAUCUGAGAUAAAAAACUAAUGUUCAAAGAGAUAAACUACAAAGAAUAGAAAAGGUUGAUGGUAGAUAAUCAUGAAAACCCCUAACUAUAGAGGAGGUCACCUCAGAAGACUUCAUGGAGAAGGAUACAUAUAAAGGAGGAAAAUACCUGGCACAUAGUAGUAAUCACAGCCACAAUAGAACCUGAC